CGCCUUUUCACAUCUCACUUCCUUCCCAAAUUUUAAAUACUCAAAUCAUGCUUCAGUCCAUCCAUUCCUUCUUUCUUUUUUGUUUUCAUUAUUCUCUCUUCCUCGCUUCUCGUACUUCGCGGAUUCUCUUUUGGUCUCUUCCUCUGCUUCGUGGGAGUGUCAUUACAGGUACAUUUACUUUAACAGUGUAUUUGCCUUUUCAUGUAUUUUUUUUAAUUUCAGAUCUAUGCCUCUCUUCUUCUUCUUUUUUUUUUUCUGUUGGUUUUUUGGUUUUCAUCUUUAGAAUAAGUAUGUCUCUACCUUUUCAUCUCUAUUUUAAUUUUCAGAUCUAUGCGUCUUUCCUUGUUUUCCAGUCUGCUUUUGUUUGAGUUUUUGGUUCUCAGCGUUAUGAACAACUGUUUUGGUUCAUCCUUUCAAAUCUAUUGAUGUUGGUAAGUUGUUCUUUAGUCAGUUUAUCGACUACUAUGUGGUUUUUUGCUUAUCAUUUGUUUUUUUGCCUUUUCGUUUCUGUUUUGGGGUGGUUUGUUUAGAUGGGAUGGUUUCGUGGUUUUUGGAUCGGGAUCGUGUUCUUUUUGUCUAGUCCUAUUGGAUUUUUUCAUAGUUUAUUCUCUUCUCAUUUUCCUUUUUUCUAACAUUUCUUUCCCCUUUACUCUCUCCUUUAUUCCGGCCGUCCCAUUUCAAAUUUUUCCUCGUAUGUUUUUGACCUUUUUUUUAACCGACGCCCAAAGGAAUGCAAAGACACUGUACCGUUUCUGUUUUUGGGUUUUUUGGAAUCCCUUGCUUCAUAAGGUAUGAAUCUUUGCUUCCACAUUGUCUUUUCCGUUCUCUGUUUUUAAUUUAAGAACUAUGCUUUUGUACUUGUAUUUCUUGGUUUAUUUUUUGGUUUAGAAAUCGCUGUUUCUAUUCGUUUUAUUUUUUUCUUAGUAAAAUAUUUUGAAUCUGGUUCAGAUUUUUUAAGUUUACUGGUGUUAAUUUUCGUUCUUAUUCCGCUAAAGGGAUAUACCCAUCAUAACUCAACUCCGGAUAACCUAUUCUGAGGAUAUCUCUGAAUCGUGAUAGCCCGGUUUGGAAUUAUUAGUGCCUGGUUCCGUUUUUUAAAUUUAAGUUUUUGCUUCUAUGUUUUUUUGUCACUGUUUACUCUUAUUUUUAAUGGGUUUUAUUUUCAUAUCUAGGUCUUGUUAUUUUUGUUAGUUUAUUGCCUCGCAUAUGUUCAUUAUUAGUUGAUUGGUUGUUUGCCGGUGUUUAAGAUUGUUGGUUUUGUUUUAGGGAUCAUUUUUUUUUUGAAGUUUCUACUUCGCUGAAUACUUUUGGUGGCUUUGGUUUUGGAUCUGGGGCUUGCGAGUAUUUGGGCAUUCACAUUUAUUUUUUACUGUUUCUAAAAUUUCUAUGAUUUUUAUAUAUUUGGCAGGCAACCGAUGAGAAAAUGAUAACACUGACAGAAUUUUUAAAACUCAUGCACCAAAUCUAAUUAACGGUAAAAAAAGUCAGUUAUCUAAAUGAGAAGCAAAAAUUCUGAAAUUGUACUGGGCGUGUGGCGUAAUGACCAGCUUAUUCCCAUAUUCUCUCCUAUUUUUCCUUUAUUUCUAACGUUCUUUUCUCCUUUAUUAGCCUACUCUUUUUCCCUUCUUUACAAAUAUUUUUCCUUCUCUCUUGUUUUUUCUUCUCUCAGCCUCCUUUCUGUGUUUUCUUCAAUCUAUGGCUCUCCCAUUCAUUCGCCGUCUCUCUCUCUCUCUAUAUGUACCCUUUCAAUUUUUUCCUCAAAUUUUUUAGCUUUGGGUAACCAAAUUCCGUUUUUUGUUUUUUUGCUGUUUCUCUUUUUCUUUUUUUUAAUUUUUGAAACCCUACAUCAUCGAAGAUUGAUUUUAGGUAUGAAUAUAAUUAAACUGUCUCUUUCCUCUUUAUCUCUGUUUUUAGUUUCAGAUAUAUGCAUAUCUUUUACUAAUAUUUUCAGUGUGUUUUUUUUCAGGGAUUUCGGUUUUUUAACUAUUAGUUUUUUAACAAUGUUAGUAAGUUCAGGUUUUAUUAUCUAUUAAAUAUAUAUAAAGCUAAUGGACCGUCGAUUGUAUAAUUAGAUAAAAAAUCCACUGCUUAGAGCGAACGGGCCUACUCGACGUACAUAAAACAGAUCAAUGUAGUUCGAUGCUCUGCCUUCCAAAGAUGAAAAUGUACAGUUGGUAGCACUGGAAUAUUCCCGCCCCUAAAAAUUACGAAACCGAUUACCCUACCCCUCUAAAUAAAAGUGAAGCUGAUUCAAUAAUUUUUUCUUGCAAAAAGCUACGACUCUUGACUAUCAAAAUGAAAAUAGUUCACAGAUUAAUUCUUUUUUACAUAAAUAAAAACAACAAAGUGGGAAUUCAAAGUAGGGUGGGCACUAUUAUUAUUACUUUUUGUUAAUGGAUAUGUUCAAAAAUAUCGUUAAGGUACAAUCAUUUCUUAAAUAUUACUAUCAUGAUGUGCUUACCUAAAUAAAAUUGGGCCUAUUUUCCAG
rnacentral:lncRNA from 1 species